UACGAAGGGGGCUAGCGUUGCUCGGAAUCACUGGGCGUAAAGCGCACGUAGGCGGAUCUUUUAAGUCAGGGGUGAAAUCCUGGAGCUCAACUCCAGAACUGCCCUUGAUACUGGGGAUCUCGAGUCCGGAAGAGGUGAGUGGAACUCCGAGUGUAGAGGUGAAAUUCGUAGAUAUUCGGAAGAACACCAGUGGCGAAGGCGGCUCACUGGUCCGGUACUGACGCUGAGGCGCGAAAGCGUGGGGAGCAAACAGG
rnacentral:rRNA from 1 species